ensembl:lncRNA
AUUAAAUGGGGUGGUCGAAACCAAGAAGGAGCAGGCACCACCCUGGGGGAAGAGGUCGAACAAGUUAACAGCUUUUUUGUCGAGAACUGCUAUAUGCAGUAAAUACAUGACCAAAGGAGGCAAGUAUAUAACUGCAAAGAUAUACAAUCCAAAGUUAGAAGUCAAAGCUACUUACAAAAAAAAUAUUUGAACAGCCUUAGUAUUCAACUUUUGCAUGAUCCUGUGUCAUCCACAUCGUUGUUAAUGCAAGCCCAAGACCAUCUUCAUAUCAGCCUUUAAAAAAAUGAUAAAGUGAAAAAGUAUGCAACAUUUAGGGGAGCUAUUGAUUAUUUAUAUUAUUAUUAUUUUUAUUUUUAUUUAUUUUUUAGCCAGAACAGACAUGAUUACAAUCCAGGCCAUGGCAUGGAAUCAGCGCAAAAUACGGAAACUUGCAAAAGCGCUGUCCCUAAGAUUUAAAAAGACAAAAGCAAAAAUUCAGGAGGAGUCCUUAAAUCUUGAUGCAAUAAAGACAGACUUGGCAGUAACACAUGACACGCUUAUAGAUUGGACCAAUGAAAUCCAGCAAUGGGCUGAUACAGCAACAAGUGAGGAGAACACAGACAGUCAGCAGGUGCUCCAGAAGACUAUUGAGACGCUUUAUGUGAGCAUCAGGCAGAGAAAGCAAGAUCUUUACCGUCAAUCAGAUGGGAACAAGAGAAGACACAAACUCCGAAGAAAGAUUUUGGAAGAAAAAAAGCCAAAUUUUUGUGCAGCUGUAGAUGACUACAACAGGGCAGCAACUGAAAAACUGCAGUCAGCUGAUACAAUACUGGCAUCUGAGAGCUAUGCAUGGCCAUGGGUCCUUGAUGAACGUGGUAUGUCUUGUUACUCAUUUAAAUUCGGAUGAAUGUACUGUGUUUAUGUAGCAGCUUAUCUGUUUACAGUGGAUAUUGUUUGCAACUGUUGUACAGCAGGAUAUUUUGCAUGUUUCCUACAGUGUGUAUGCAUUUUGUCCGGCUAUAGCAAGCUUGUUCUGCAAUAGUGUAAGCACAUCUAGGACCGGUUUCACAGACAAGAGCUUAGACUAAGCUAGGAUUAGGUCAUAGGUUUAAGAUUUAAGUAGCUUUUAUAAAUGUGCCAUAGGAAACAAAACAUUACUGGUGCGCUUCUUGCGACCAAACAAUAGCAUUAACAAAUUUUAAGAUAUGUAAGUGCAGAUGGGUUUCAUCUUCACAGAUAAUCUUGCAACCAGGCCUUUGACCAACUGAUGCUGCUGAACCGGCUUACUGAAGAGGAGUGCAUUGUUCUGAAAGAAAUCCGGAAUCACUGGAAAAGCCUUACAAGGGAGCAUUCUCUUCUAAAUGAUCUUUUAAGUCAUGUUGCUGUUGAGAUAAAAGAGAACA